rnacentral:rRNA from 1 species
UACGAAGGGGGCUAGCGUUGUUCGGAAUUACUGGGCGUAAAGGGCGCGUAGGCGGUGUGUCAAGUCAGGCGUGAAAGCCCCGGGCUCAACCUGGGAACCGCGCUUGAGACUGGCACGCUCGAGUUCGGGAGAGGAUGGUGGAAUUCCCAGUGUAGAGGUGAAAUUCGUAGGUAUUGGGAAGAACACCGAUGGCGAAGGCAGCCAUCUGGACCGACACUGACGCUGAGGCGCGAAAGCGUGGGGAGCAAACAGG